rnacentral:rRNA from 1 species
AACGCGAAGAACCUUACCUGGUCUUGACAUCCACGGAAGUUUUCAGAGAUGAGAAUGUGCCUCCGGGAACCGUGAGACAGGUGCUGCAUAGCUGUCGUCAGCUCGUGUUGUGAAAUGUUGGGUUAAGUCCCGCAACGAGCGCAACCCUUAUCCUUUGUUGCCAGCGGUCCGGCCGGGAACUCAAAGGAGACUGCCAGUGAUAAACUGGAGGAAGGUGGGGAUGACGUCAAGUCAUCAUGGCCCUUACGACCAGGGCUACACACGUGCUACAAUGGCGCAUACAAAGAGAAGCGACCUCGCGAGAGCAAGCGGACCUCAUAAAGUGCGUCGUAGUCCGGAUUGGAGUCUGCAACUCGACUCCAUGAAGUCGGAAUCGCUAGUAAUCGUGGAUCAGAAUGCCACGGUGAAUACGUUCCCGGGUCUUGUACACACGC